rnacentral:rRNA from 1 species
UACAGAGGUCUCAAGCGUUGUUCGGAUUUAUUGGGCGUAAAGAGCUCGUAGGCGGCUUGUCGCGGCGGCUGUGAAAUCCCGUGGCUCAACUGCGGGUCUGCAGCCGAUACGGGCAGGCUAGAGUUCGGUAGGGGAGACUGGAAUUCCUGGUGUAGCGGUGAAAUGCGCAGAUAUCAGGAGGAACACCGAUGGCGAAGGCAGGUCUCUGGGCCGAUACUGACGCUGAGGAGCGAAAGCGUGGGGAGCGAACAGG